UCGUACCGCAUGAUAUGGUACAUCAUGCCGAAACGAUCCGAAAUGAGCCUACCCCCCUUCGUACCGGAUUUUAGGGACCUAGCGAAUUGCGAUCCCGUACCACGUUCCCGUACCGGAGCGUACCGUGAACCAUGUGACUAUGGUUGAUGGAAGGUUUUGUGACUCUGCUAUAUCUGUACGAGAAGCAACACUGGAGCUUCUUGGUCGAUAUAUUGCUUCACAUCCUAAUGUUGCUUUGAGGGUUGAUAACAGAACUGAAAUAGAGAAACAAAUACAUGAAUGGUUGUUGAUCACUUCCUCAAGGAAUGCAAAAUGUUGGCCUUUUUCGGUUCCAUUAUUAUGUUGGAUAUUCUCUCAACUUGGAAAAGUGCCUUUGCUUACUCAAGAUAUCGAACAAAUAAAUCAAGAUCUACCCGUACAUGGAAAGAGAUGAAGAAAAGCAUAUGCGAACACUUGUGAAAGAAGAUUUUGGUCAACCUGACAGAGUAAAUACCAUGUUUGCAGCCCUGCAUACAACCUCCUUUUAAAAUCUAUUUGCAAUGGAGGAAAGAUGAUAAUAUCAACCUUCAGGUAAGGCGGGUUUGAUAGUUUUAGCCUUGGCUUUGGAAAGCGCGCCUUGGCGCAAGGCAACCCCAGGCACCACCACUAUCGCUUUUGUGCAAGUAAGGUGAGUGUUGUACGUAAAGUGGCCGUGAGGCGUGCUUAUCGGGCAAAAAAUUGGCAUAAGACGCAUGUAUGAGGCGUGUUUUUUAACUGCCGACAUAUUUUGAUCAAAAUUUAUUUAUUUUGACCCGUUAAAAGUCCGACUCAUAUUUUACAAAAUUUAUAUAUUCUGACCCGUUAACAGAUACAUGAGUUUAUUUCGAAGAUACCAAAGUUUGACUGAGUUGUUACCAAUCUAAAUUAGAGUCAGAGUGUUUUUGGUGUCCAAUUGACUGAAUUAUUAGCAAUCUAAAUUAGAGUCAGAUUGUUUGGUGUCCAAUUAUGUCUGGAGUAAAUAGUUACUAUGUAAGGGUAGUUUUGGAAUUUGGCUCAGUUAUGGGUCAAUGUUUAGUUUGGAUUUCAACUUAGUUAGAGGUAAAUUGACAUAUAUCAAGUGGAUAUAACUUUUUAUAUUUGAUAAUUUCCACUUUUUUUGUUAGGGGGUAUUGACAACCUAUCAAAGCCAAAGACAAAGCACACAUGAAUCGGUUGAAAAGAAGGUGAAAGUCGGUUACAAGUGGGAUUGAAAGUUAUGUAUAUAUAUAUGAAAGUUAUGUGUGUGUAUAUAUAUAUAAGUCUGUCCCACCAUUAAUUUUAAUGAUCCGAUAACAAUGCGUUUUAGAUGUUGCAUUCUCUUUACCAACAGCCUUUGAUGCAAAAUCCAUCUGACCUGUUUGCAGAUUGAUGUUUGUUAGUGACAUUACUAUUAAUGUAUUCAAA